AACGAACGCUGGCGGCAUGCCUAACACAUGCAAGUCGAACGAGACCUUCGGGUCUAGUGGCGCAUGGGUGCGUAACGCGUGGGAACCUGCCCUUAGGCUCGGAAUAACUCCCCGAAAGGGGUGCUAAUACCGGAUAAUGUCCUCGAACCAAAGAUUUAUCGCCUUUGUAUGGGCCCGCGUUGUAUUAGCUUGUUGGUAGGGUAAAAGCCUACCAAGGCGACGCUCCAUAGCUGGUCUGAGAGGAAGAUCAGCCACACUGGGACUGAGACACGGCCCAGACUCCUACGGGAGGCAGCAGUGGGGAAUAUUGGACAAUGGGCGAAAGCCUGAUCCAGCAAUGCCGGGUGAGUGAUGAAGGCCUUAGGGUUGUAAAGCUCUUUUACCCGGGAUGAUAAUGACAGUACCGGGAGAAUAAGCUCCGGCUAACUCCGUG
rnacentral:rRNA from 1 species